rnacentral:rRNA from 1 species
AUGGCGAAGAAACCUCCGGCUCUGGACUGUCCGACCCUCUCCUGCUCCUCUCGCCGGAUCUCGACAAGAGCCGUCCCUGCACCCUCUCGGUCCCUCCAGGACACGGACGAUCACUGCUCCAUGAUCCAGACCCGUACCAGGAGGCGAAAGCUUCCAGCGAGCCACGAUGAUCCGAACUCCUCACCACAGAUCCUCAUUUGGGGGGCGAAGCGAGCACGCAGUGGCUCCGCCGGAAUCCAAGCAGAUUCUUCCUCGGCUUUUACGAGGGACUGGACCGAUCUCGGGGACGGGCCCGCGGGGCUGAUCGCGGAGCGCCUGCUCGCCGGCGACGUCGCCGACUACGUCUGCUUCCGCGCAGUCUGCCGUCCAUGGCGGCUCUGCUGCACGGACACGCGCGCACACGGCAUCCUGGAUCGCCGCUUUCACCCGCGCCACUGGAUCAUGCUCAGGGAAACAGGAGACUCGCCGCGCCGCCGAUGCUUGAACGUCUCCACCGGCUGCUCAAGAUACGUGCACCUGCCGGAGCUCGACGGCCACGACGUGUUCGGCCCCACCACGGAGGGCCUCCUCGUCCUCCUCGACAGGGCCACCUGGGUGGUUCGCCUGCUGAACCCGUUCACCCGUCAGACGGCCAACCUCCCGCCGGCCACCACUCUCAUGACCAAGAGGGAUCGUCUGGAUUCGUUGCAGGUGUCAGGCGCUGGCCUAGCCGACGACUGCACCAUCGCGGUCUAUUUUAGAUCGAUAAGUACGCUUGCAGUCAUCAAGCCAGGCGAUCCGCACUGGACAGUGGUUGACCGUGGCACUUGGCUCUUGCCAGCCAUGUCUUUCGCCGGCCGCUUCUACUGCGCCACCACCUCGGCUGUUAUGGUGGUGGAGACUAGUGCGGAUCAGCCACCGCGACUGGUCAUCGCCGCCAACCUGAACAGGCUGCUUUCCCCGAUUAUGGAGGAGACUAUCCAUCUGGUGUACAAUGGCGGGGAACUGGUACUUGUGGACCGGCAAUGCAUCGGCGAUAUCGUCAAAUAG